rnacentral:rRNA from 1 species
GGUGAGUAAUGCUUAGGAAUCUGCCUAUUAGUGGGGGACAACAUUUCGAAAGGAAUGCUAAUACCGCAUACGUCCUACGGGAGAAAGCAGGGGAUCUUCGGACCUUGCGCUAAUAGAUGAGCCUAAGUCGGAUUAGCUAGUUGGUGGGGUAAAGGCCUACCAAGGCGACGAUCUGUAGCGGGUCUGAGAGGAUGAUCCGCCACACUGGGACUGAGACACGGCCCAGACUCCUACGGGAGGCAGCAGUGGGGAAUAUUGGACAAUGGGCGCAAGCCUGAUCCAGCCAUGCCGCGUGUGUGAAGAAGGCCUUAUGGUUGUAAAGCACUUUAAGCGAGGAGGAGGCUACUUUAGUUAAUACCUAGAGAUAGUGGACGUUACUCGCAGAAUAAGCACCGGCUAACUCUGUGCCAGCAGCCGCGGUAAUACAGAGGGUGCAAGCGUUAAUCGGAUUUACUGGGCGUAAAGCGCGCGUAGGCGGCUAAUUAAGUCAAAUGUGAAAUCCCCGAGCUUAACUUGGGAAUUGCAUUCGAUACUGGUUAGCUAGAGUGUGGGAGAGGAUGGUAGAAUUCCAGGUGUAGCGGUGAAAUGCGUAGAGAUCUGGAGGAAUACCGAUGGCGAAGGCAGCCAUCUGGCCUAACACUGACGCUGAGGUGCGAAAGCAUGGGGAGCAAACAGGAUUAG